rnacentral:rRNA from 2 species
UACGUAGGGGGCAAGCGUUGUCCGGAUUUAUUGGGCGUAAAGCGCACGCAGGCGGUCUGACAAGUCCGAAGUGACAGUCAUUGGCUUAACCAAUGAAGGCCUUCGGAAACUGACAGACUUGAGAGCAAUAGAGGGACACGGAAUUCCGGGUGGAGUGGUGAAAUGCGUAGAUAUCCGGAGGAACACCAAAGGCGAAGGCAGUGUCCUGGAUUGUAUCUGACGCUCAGGUGCGAAAGCUAGGGGAGCGAACGGG